AUCCCUGGGCCUGGGCCUACCUAGGUGAAGACAGGCAUUUUUGUUUUCCUGCCCGGAUGUUGCAUUUCCCAAGACCACCCUGGCCUGCCAUGCCCUCAUCCUGUGCCUUUAAAAACCCCCGAGACCCUGGCAGGCAGACGCACAAGCAGCUGGACAUUGAGAGGAGCAUAUAGGCAGAGAAUACAGGGGCUGCUGGAUGUCGAAAGGAACGCACCAGCAUAGGAGCACACCGGCAUGCUGGCAGGCCAUUGACCAGCGGAAGAAUGCAGAGUUUGUCGCGGGAGGUCAGAGAAGAGUCAGGCCGCCAUACCUGACUCCAGGAGAAAACCGUCUCCCUUCUGGUUCCCCCGUCUGCCGAGAGCUACUUCCACUCAAUAAAACUUUCCACUCAUUCUUCAAGCCCACGUGUGAUCCAAUUCUUCCCGUACACCAAGGUCUCGCUGUGUUUCCCAGGCUGGGUGCAGUGGCUAUUCAAAGGUACAAUGAUAGCUCACUGCAGCCUGGAACUCCUGGACUCAAGCGAUCCUCCUGCCUCAGCUGCGACUAACAGUGCUGGUAAUGAUGUAUACCUGGCAGCUGACCGUCAAAUCUUAUGAAGGAUUAAAACAUAAAGUUUGCAUUAAAGGUCAAAACAGUCACAAGCCUGCUCAAAUUCGGAAAGAGGGGACGGAAAUGGAACCUCUUCAUGGGAGGAAGGUAAAAGAAUUUGGUACCGUCUUUAAGACUACCACAUUACACCGAUGGCAUCUUCUCCACACUUUUAGCACAGCCUCUCUGCAGCUCGAUGAUCUGCAGUUUGUUUUCUCUUCUCCCCAAGUGACUAUGAGCUCAUGCGGGGCAAAAAUUAUUUAUAACCUUAAAAAAUUAUAUCCUAAGAAACUGUUUAUUAAAAUGAGACACUAUAAAUAUUGAAUGAAGUUUACACACACACACACCUAGAGAAAAUUACAAUGCUAAUAAUCAAAGACAAUCUAAAGUCUAUGGUUUAAUCUCUUACUUAAAUACAUUCAUUUGCAUUUGAGUAACUCGACAGUGAUGCAGGGCAGGCGACCCCCGGAAACUGGGGUUUAGCCCACGAGGGUUAUUGGCUUCACCCAGGAAAGAAUUCAAGGGGGAGCCAGUGGUGUUAGACAGCAACUUUUAUUGAAGCAGCAGCGUACAGCAGCGGCAGAGGUAUUUCUCCUUGUGGAACAGGGCCACCCCAUAGACAGUGAACUCAGAGUAGUGGCUGAGAGCCACUUCUGUAGUCAUAUUUAUACCCACUUUUAACUACAUGCAAAUUAAGGCAGGAUGAUGCAGAAAUUUCUAGGAAAAGGAUGGUAACUUCCAGGUCGUUGGGUCACUGCCAUGGAAAGGGGUGGUAACUUCCGGGUGUUGCCAUGGCAAUGGUAAACUGAUGUAGCACACUGGUGGGCAUAUCUUACGUAAUGUUGCUUUUGCCCCAGAUGCCCUGGACCUUUUAACUAGUCCUCAAUCUGGUCCAGUUUCCGAGUCCCUGCUCCAGAGUCGAGUACCACCUCCUACCUCAAUGGGCAAGAGUCUAGAAAAUUUAAUCCUUAAACCUGGUAACUUACAUAAUUAUUUUUGUUUGGAUGCAUUCUAAUUGUUUCAAGGUUUUCUAGAGAUGGACAAUUGAGAAGGUGGCAGUCUUGCCUAUUUCUAGCAAAAUUUCAUUAAAUAAAUGCUGGCAGACAACAACAAAAAAGCCCUAAAAAGAGUGUUUGUUAUUUUGCCCUCCAGGUGCAGAUUGAGAUGUGACUUUUAUCAAUUAAGAAAAUUGAUCAUAAGAAAAAGGAGAUUGUGACUUAGAAGCUUUACCUCUAGAUUUGUCGUUUAUAUUCAAAAGUACAUUGACAGUCCUCUGUUCCUUGAACAAGACAACAUGCCUCUUUGCAGAGCUCUUGCAUUAGCUUUUCUUUUGUCGAGAAUGCUUUUUCCAUAGUAUAUACGUGCCUCAUUCUGUCACUUUUUUUUUUUUUUUUUUUUGAGAUAGAGUGUCGCUCUGUUGCCCAGGUAGAGUGCAGUGGUGCGAUCUUGGCUCACUGCAACCUCUGCCUCCUGGGUUCAAGCGAUUCUCCUGCCUCAGCCUCCCCAGUAGCUGGGACUACAGGCAGGUGCCACCAUGCCCGGCUAAUUUUUUUUAGUUUUUUUUUUUUUUAGUAGAUACGGGGUUUCACCGGGUUAGCCAGGAUGGUCUCAAUCUCCUGACCUCGUGAUCCACCUGCCUCAGCCUCACCUCCCAAAGUGCUGGGAUUACAGGCGUGAGCCGCCGCGCCUGGCCUCUGUCACUUUUUAAAAACAACAGCUUAAAUGUCAAUGCAUUGUCCUUUUCUAACUAUACUUUAUACAGUCGUUACUCCUAUCAGUCUAUCUAGUUUUGUCAGAGUAUUUACCUAACAGAAAACUACUUAUUUGUUUAUUUAUUUAAGUCAACCUCCCUUACUGGAAUGUAAAUUGCAUAAGCAUAGGGCCUUUCAGCUUUAUCUUCUACUACCAUUCUAGUUCGUAGUACAGUGACUGUUGCAUAAUAAACAAUAUACAAUUGUUAUAUAAAAGAAUGAGUACAAAGCAUAUAAAGACAACCUCCAUUGUACAAGGGCAUGGAGAAAAUAAACAGUGAUACAUUUAAUGAAUUUAUGUAUUGAACAAUUUUAAACAUCACAUCUAAAGAGCUUAACAAGUAUUUGUUUUUAUAGUUUUUGCUGAAGCACCAAAAUAGAGGCAAAGUUUUGUAGAGGCCAAGUGCUACCUUAUUCUCAAAUGGAGUUUUAGAUCAUCCAUGAAUUACUUGCAAAAGGGACGUCCUGAAACUCUGCACCACUAGACCAUCGUACACCUUUAAUGAAUUCUUAGAUGCAUUUUAUAUAUGAUGUAUGUACAUAAAAAUGAAUGAAUUCAUUAGAAGACAUUUUAAAAAUGGGAAUUUCCGUGGACAAAGAGUUUUAGGAAAGUUGAGUAUUUCUUUUGAAGCUACGUGAGGAGAGCUUUUGGAAAAGCACUAAGGAAUCUUGAUGCGUAUGCUUCGUGCUUCUGUAGACACACAGUUGGCACCUGACUCAGAUAUAAAAAAGUCUCAAGGUUUUAUUAUCGCUGGCAGAGCAAGAGGAGAGAUGGCAAGAGUGAGACACUGCAACCCACCCACUGAUGUUGGGGCGAAGAUGCCCUAGGCCAGACCUAUAACACAUAAAUAGAAAGGAGCUGGACUUGAGGGACUUGAUUUUGAACAGGACACUGUCAAAAGCCCCCACCUGGGAAACUGUACUAAUAGCCCCCACCUGGGAAACUGUACUAAUAGAAGAGUCAGCGUGGGGUGGUGUGUUAGUUUGUUUUGAUGCUGCUGAUGAAGACAUACCCAAGACUAGGCGAUUUACAAGAGAAAGAAGAGGUUGAAUUGCACUUACAUUUCCGCACGGCUGGGGAAGCCUCACAAUCAUGGCGGAAGGUGAGGAGGAGCAAGUCACAUCUUAACGUGGAUGGCGGCAGGCAAAGACACAAAGAAUGAGAGCCAAGUGAAACAGAUUUCCCCUUAUCAAACCAGCAGAUCUCACGAGACUUAUUCACUACCACGAGGACAGCAUGGGAGAACCCACCCCCACAAUCCAACCAUCUCCCACCACGUCCCUCCCAGAACACGCGGGAAUUAUGGGAGUACAAUUCAAGAUGAUAUUUGGGUGGGGACAUAGAGCCAAACAAUAUCAGGUGGACUGCCAGUAAAAAGGGGCGGGCGUGUGUUAAUGCUUUGGAGAAGGCAUUGUGUCUCUGAUAGGAACUACAGGUGAGAGAGAGAUCCCAGCGACAGAAGGUCGCCAAGGAAUCUGUGGGAGAGGAAAUAAGAAUUUGCCUGUCUGUUCCCAGUUGUUUGAGACUGGGGAGAAGACGAUGAGAAAAGUUUUAAAUUGGAUGAGAGGUUGAUACUCAGAUAUUAGGCAGAAAGGAACUUUUAUACCCCUGAAAAAUGAGAGUUCUUCUUAAUAACUAACUAGAAAAAAAUGUCAGAUCGGCCUAAUAUUUCAUCUGGGGAUAAAUAAGGACAGUUCAAAAUUAGAAAGAGCAGUAGUGAGGAAAAAAAAAUGGUCACUCUCUGCUUUUAACCUGACAACUCUUAUUCAGUCAAUUUAAAUGUUAUACAGGUUUUAGAUAAAAUACUAACAAGUAAAACACCUAUGAUAGAGUUCUGAGUAAAAUGUACAGCAUUCUGUACUUCAUAAAGAAUAUAAACUCAAGUUUAUUAUAUAUAUUACAUGUUCUCUCUAUAUUCUUUCUAUAUAAUCUAUUAUAUGUGUUUUCUCUAAUAGUAAUUAAAAAAACCCCACACAUACAGGUAUCUAUAGAAAAAAUUGGAUGCUGACACACUUACCUAAUGUUAAGACAAUUUUUUCCCCAGGGAUUGAUUUAAGUUUUCUUCUUUAUAUUUAUUUCCUCUGGCCCUGGAGGCAGUGUAUACUUUACUCAUUCUUUGAUGCAAAUGCUUUUUUUUUUUUUUUUUUUUCAGACGGAGUCUCACUCUUGUCGCCCAGGCUGGAGUGCAGUGGUGCUAUCUCAGCUCACUGCAACCUCCUCCUCCUGGGUUCAAGCGAUUCUCCUGCCUCAGCCUUCCAAGUAGCUAGGAUUACAGGUGCCCGCCACCACGCCCUGCUAAUUUUGUAUUUUUCGGUGAGACAGGUUUCGCCAUGUUGGCCAGGCUCAUCUUGAACUCCUGACCUCAGAUGAUCUGCCUGCCUCAGCCUCCCAAAGUGCUAGGAUUACAGGUGUGAGCCACUGCACCGGGCCGCAGGUACUUUUUUGAAUCCUUUGAAGGUGUCUGUUGGAAAAUGUGAUUACACUUCCCAGGAAGCAGGUGAUAAUCUCUCCCUAAGCCCCUUGACAAUGGAUGGUCCAGCCUCCUGUUGGGGUUGCUUGGUCCUUUGGCAUGAUUUAAAAUUUCUUAGGCAAAUUUUUAUUUUCAGGUAACCACUCGCUGGUUGAUGAGAACCACCUGCAUGCUGUUGCCCCUGCUGAUGAGGGAAUUCUAGCUGGUUCCAGGGCUGCUUGUGCUUUCUCUGCACAGUACUUUCUUGUUAUUACCAUGGCCUCUUGCCUUUAUUUCAUAGGCCUUUGUCAGACCCUGGGUAACAGUUUUCCUAAAUAUCCAGGGCUCCAGGAGGCCCUUUUUCUAGGCUUAAAACUCUCCUAACUUCUUCCCAGUCGGGAAAUUGAGACUUAGAGCAGACCAACAACUUUCUCCUAAAAUAAAUCACCUCCUCUAUCUGCAGCCUAGGUCAGCUUCUCUAACUCUUUUACCAGCUGGAGGCCAGUGAUCUGCUAAGGUCAUAUGUGUGCACGUGUUGCUGGGUGAGUCUAGCUUUCUAUAGGCUAUGGGAGUGGUUGACAUACAUUUCCUAGGACUUCGUCAUACACAUAAUGGAAAUAAUUCCAUGUGAGCAUACCAUUUUUAGCUUACUAAAUCCAAAAGUAUAUUAAAAGGUACUUUAUGAUAAAUAGAAGAAUAGAAGAAUAUUUUCACUUUGUAAAAGUUUUCAAUGUUCUAAUUCACUCAUUAACAGUAAAAAUCACAUAAAUAUCUUGAUAGAUGCUGAAUAAGAAUUUUAUAAAGCUCAUUAUUUAUUUUAAAAAUUGAAACAAACAACUUAUAAAGUUGAAUUUCUACCAUAUUAUGUAUUUUUUAAAUUCUCAUAAAAUUGAAUGGAAACUUCCUUAAUGUGUUAAAAGCUUAUACCAAAAUAUAAUGUAAAUAUAAAUAAUUGAUGCAUAUACAUCAAAUAUCACAUUUAAAGAUUAGAUACAUUAUCUUAAAUUGGGAGCAAAACAAAUGUCCAAUUUUAAUUAUUGGAUUUCAAUAAAUCACUUGAGAUUAGGGCUAAUUCUUUGGAAUUCAUGUAAAAGAAAUAUGGAUUUUGAAAAUUUUGAGAAAAAAAUAAAACAUUAUAACUCUAUGAUUACAGAGAUAUGAUCUGCAUGAAAUCCUAGUAGAAUUAACAAAGAAUGAGUGUUAAUAAGAGAACUGAACAAGUUUGCUAAACAUGAGGUCAACUUUCUCAAUUCUUCAGCAUUCAUUUAAGUAAGUAAUGCCAACCAAAACAAAAAAUAAUGUAAUAUAAAACAAUAGCAACAAAAUUUUAAAAGUAUUUAGAAAUUAACCUUGGAAAGAAAUCUAUAAACCUUUAUAAUAGAAAUUUUAAAAUUGUAAUAAAGGAAAUUAAGGAAGACCUAAAUAAAUGUGGAAAUCUAUUAUGUCUUUAUUUAAAAAUAUAAAAGUUUUUAUUCCAAAAUAAAUGUAUAAGUUCAAUGUAAUUUCAAUAAAGAUUCAGUAGUACCUUUGAGGAACUGAACGUAUAUACGUAUAUACAAAAUACACAGAUACAAAAAUAUCUGUGAAAAAGUCAGCUGACAGAAGAGAAACAGGAUAUCUUCUUAGUGAUAUAUAAAUGUAUUACAAAGCCUAAGUAAUAAUAAUAUAGGAAAUAAAGAGUGAAAAUAUUAAUGUAACAAAAUAGAGUUCAAGAGCAGACCCCUUGAUCUGGGAACUAGAUAAAGAUGAAAGUGGUAUCAUGUUCAGUGGCAAAAGGUUGAAUGGUUCAUAAAUUGUUUUGGGAAAACAGACUUACAAAGUAUAAAAAUAAAAUUGGCCUUCUAUUUCAUAGCAUAUACAAAGGAGGACUGCUGAUUGAUUAAUGAUUUAAAUGCAAAUAGUAAAACCAUAAAAAAUAAUGGGGCUAUGGAGACUUCAUUACAGAACCUUAAAAGCACAAUGUAUAUGGAUUUAACUGCAAUGGAUUUAUCAACAUAAAAAUUCAGGAUAUUUUUCCAGCAAUGAAUAUUACAAAAAAUAUUAACAGAUGGACGACAGAUUGGGAGAAGAUAUUUGCAAAGGGUUUAAUAUUAAAACUAUACAAAGAAUGUCUUCCAAGUAACCAAAAAGAUGAAAAAAUUAGUAAGGAAAUUGGCAAAGGAUAUAAAUGGCACAAAAUGACUGAAAAUUAUGUGUAUAGAUGUGCAACCACAUUAGUAAUCAGAUAAAUGCAAAAUAAAAUAAAAUACUACUUCACAGUUAUUGGAGUCCCCAAAUGGAAAAGAAGCUGUGUUGAUAAGAAUAUGGAGAAUUGAUGCUUGUCAUCCAUAGCUUAUGGGAACAUAGAGUGGUGCAGCCUUUCUGGAGGAAAUUACAUGGUGGAUUUACAAAUGCUUAUAUCGUACUACUCAACAAUGUGAUCUUUGUUAUUUUAUUCUGGAAAAAUCUUGCCCCCAUUCCAAGCAGGGACAUGUUUUGUGGAAAUAGGUAAUUGGAGGCAACAUAGCUAUUAUUAUUAGGGGAAUGAAUAAAAGCAAAAUGUGUUGAUUACACACUAUGGUUGUAGUAGUCUGUUUUCAUGCUACUGAUAAAAACAUACCUGAGACUGGGAAAUUUACAAAACAAAGAGGUUUAAUUGGGCUUACAGUUCCACAUGGCUGGAGAGGCCUAACAAUCAUGGCGUAAAGCAAGGAGGAGUAAGUCACAUCUUACGUGGAUAGUGGCAGGCAAAGACAGAAUGUACCAGCAGGGGAAAUGCCAGAUGCUUAUAAAACCAUCAGAUCUUGUGAGAACUCAUUCAUUAUCAUGAGAACAGUAAGGGGGAAUAGCCCCCAUGAUUCAAUUAUCUCUGCCUGGCCCCACCCUUGACACCUGGAGAUUAUUACAAUUCAAGGUGAGAUUUGGGUGGGCACACAGAGUCAAACCACGUCAAUGGUAUUCAUAAUCAACAUGUCUGAUCUUAAAAACUUCAUGUUGACUAAAUAAAUAGAAAAGAGAAUAUUGAUAGCAUAGUAAUAAUUACAAGUACCUUCACAAAACAUUAUCCUUGUUUUAGAAAAAAUUCUCAUACUGAAAAAAAAACCAAAAACAUGAAAUCAAGCAUUUAUUCCAUUGAUAGAUGAAUGGGGGUAGGACUCAGGGAGGAAGGUGAGAAAUAUAAGAUAAAAUAUAUAAUAAAAUAAAAUAAAACAAAAUGGGACCUUUAAGACUGAUGGUGAACAUGUAUCAUGAUUUAUGUGAAAUGUUUAAUUCAGUUAUUUGGACCUGUGGUAAAAAAUCAAAUACCAAGGGGUAAAAAUUAAAUGAAAUUUUAUUUUAAUGCACAGGAAAAUUGAUCAUGCAGACAGGUCCUAUUCUACUAUCAAUCUCUUUUUAGGAAAUCCCUUUACAAACAGUAGACUGUUGAGCAUUGUUUCUUCACAUUUUCUGUAUGUGAAGAUUUAAAAUAUUAGGCAUUUUUGAAUAUGGAAUUGAUAAUGUAUGGUGAAGGCAAUUUGUGUGUUUUUACAAUGCUAUCCAAUACACAAUGAGUAUGUAAAACAUUUCUGUCAACUUCAAGUGUGCCAUUUUGUUCUAUUACUUGCCAAUAUUUUCACUGCAUGAAACUAAUUUGUUUCUGAGGAGUUGGUGACUUUCUGUAACAUAUUUUAUGGACAAUCCAAAACAAUCCAUUAAGCACUCCCUCCCCACACUCCCUGUUUUUCUGUUGACAUUCAGAUUCAACACAUUUAUAAAAUUAAGGACUGUUUUGCCAAUCUCAGGUACCAGGUGUACUACACUUUGAGGGUUAUUUAUUUUCUUCAAAGUCAGACUGGAUUUUGGCCCAUACAUCAUUUGAACUUCUCUCCUUGCAUUAUUUGUCUAUAGGAGAAAUAUUGAUUGGAAAAGCAGUGUAGAAUAAAGUUAAAGUUAGGUAUCCUAUAUAAUUUUUCCUAAAUAAUUAAAAAUGUUUUUUUAAAAAGUGAUGUUAAAAUUGUUAAGUAAAAUCCAAUAUGACUGAUUCCUGUAUUGACUUCCCAAGGAUUAAAAUCUCAUUAGAUAAGCAUGUAAUAUGUCUUACAUGAUAAAGUAUCCAUAAGAGUAGCUAAUAGUUUUCUUAGCAUGUAACAUUCAAAACUGAGCAAUUAAUAAUAUGGAGUGAGCAGUAGCUAACAGUAUUUAAAUUUAAUGAAACCUUCACAAAUUCAUGUUCUUCCAUUUCACAGAAGGAGAAAAAGCUGAUAUUUAACAGUAUUCAGUUUUUUGGGGGAAUACUUUUUAGGAGUAAUAAUAUUUUCUAAGUGCUUAUUCAAGAUAAGUUUUACAUUAUGGGAAAAUGCAAGUUAUUAAUUCUCAUUAGAUUUAUUUAGUGUUCUGUCACUCUUACAUUUUUGGAGAUUUUCCUAAUAAGAUAUGUAUAUUUUGGCAUCCAACCUCUCAAUAUCUUGCAUGGUAUUUAAUAUUGAUAUAGAUAUUCCUUUUUGUUAUCCUGGAGUUUGAAAAUGCCAGCUUGUGGUAUGUCCUUUGUAUAUUAUGAAUUAAAAUAUUUGCCAUUCUUUAAAAUA
rnacentral:lncRNA from 1 species